AUACGGAGGGUGCAAGCGUUACUCGGAAUCACUGGGCGUAAAGCGCGCGCAGGCGGGCUGAUAAGUUGGAUGUGAAAGCCUACGGCUCAACCGUAGAACUGCAUCCAAAACUGUCAGUCUAGAGUCUGGGAGGGGAAGAUGGAAUUAGUUGUGUAGGGGUAAAAUCCGUAGAGAUAACUAGGAAUACCAAAAGCGAAGGCAAUCUUCUGGAACAGUACUGACGCUGAGGCGCGAAAGCGUGGGGAGCAAACAGGAUUAGAAACCCUAGUAGUCC
rnacentral:rRNA from 1 species